UACGGAGGGUGCGAGCGUUGUCCGGAAUCACUGGGCGUAAAGGGCGCGUAGGUGGCGCGGGCAGUCAACGGUGAAAGUUCGGGGCUCAACCCUGAAUCGGCCGUCGAUACUCCCGUGCUUGAGCACUGUAGAGGCAGAUGGAAUUCCGGGUGUAGCGGUGGAAUGCGUAGAGAUCCGGAAGAACACCAGUGGCGAAGGCGGCUCACUGGCCCGGUACUGACGCUGAGGUGCGAAAGCGUGGGGAGCAAACAGG
rnacentral:rRNA from 1 species